CCUACGGGAGGCUGCAGUAGGGAAUUUUCGGCAAUGGGGGGAACCCUGACCGAGCAACGCCGCGUGAAGGAAGAAGGAAUUCGUUCUGUAAACUUCUGUUAUAAAGGAAGAAAGACGGAUGGAGGAAAUGACAUCCGAGUGACGGUACUUUAUGAGAAAGCCACGGCUAACUACGUGCCAGCAGCCGCGGUAAUGCGUAGUGGGCAAGCGUUAUCCGGAAUUAUUUGGCGUAAAGAGAGAGCAGGCGGGAGAAAAGGUUCGUGGUGAAAGACUGAAACUAAACUUAAGUAAGGCAUAGAAAACGGCCAGCUAGAGUGCAGGAGAGGAUCGUGGAAUUCCAUGUGUAGCGGUGAAAUGCGUAGAUAUAUGGAGGAACACCAGUGGCGAAGGCGACGAUCUGGCCUGCAACUGACGCUCAGUCCCGAAAGCGUGGGGAGCAAAUAGGAUUAGAUACCCUUGUAGUC
rnacentral:rRNA from 1 species